UACGUAGGGGGCGAGCGUUGUCCGGAUUUAUUGGGCGUAAAACGCUUGUAGGUGGCUACGUCAAGUCGGACGUGAAAUCUCCCGGCUCAACUGGGAGGGUGCGCCGAAUACUGAAUGACUUGGAGUGCGGGAGAGGAAAGUGGAAUUCCUGGUGUAGCGGUGAAAUGCGUAGAUAUCAGGAGGAACACCGGUGGUGUAGACGGCUUUCUGGACCGUAACUGACGCUGAGACACGAAAGCGUGGGUAGCAAACAGG
rnacentral:rRNA from 1 species